rnacentral:rRNA from 1 species
UACGUAGGGGGCCAGCGUUGUUCGGAAUUAUUGGGCGUAAAGGGCGCGUAGGCGGUCGAGUAAGUCUGACGUGAAAUCCCUUGGCUCAACCAAGGAACUGCGUCUUAAACUGCUCGGCUUGAGUCCGGGAGAGGGUAGUGGAAUUCCCAGUGUAGCGGUGAAAUGCGUAGAUAUUGGGAGGAACACCGGUGGCGAAGGCGGCUACCUGGACCGGUACUGACGCUGAGGCGCGAAAGCUAGGGUAGCAAACAGG